rnacentral:rRNA from 1 species
GAUGAACGCUAGCUACAGGCUUAACACAUGCAAGUCGAGGGGAAACGGCAUCGAAAGCUUGCUUUUGAUGGGCGUCGACCGGCGCACGGGUGAGUAACGCGUAUCCAACCUGCCCAUCACUUGGGAAUAACCUUGCGAAAGUAAGACUAAUGCCCAAUGACAUCCCACGAAGGCAUCCGAAUGGGAUUAAAGAUUUAUCGGUGAUGGAUGGGGAUGCGUCUGAUUAGCUUGUUGGCGGGGUGACGGCCCACCAAGGCAACGAUCAGUAGGGGUUCUGAGAGGAAGGUCCCCCGCAUUGGAACUGAGACACAGUCCAAACUCCUACGGGAGGCAGCAGUGAGGAAGAUUGGUCAAUGGGCGAGAGCCUGAACCAGCCAAGUAGCGUGCAGGAUGACGGCCCUAUGGGUUGUAAACUGCUUUUAUAAGGGAAUAAAGUGGGUCACGUGUGACUUUUUGCAUGUACCUUAUGAAUAAGGACCGGCUAAUUCCGUG